GUUGCGGUAUAUAACACCACUUGUCAUUUGAGCCCCAUAAUAAUUAAAUGUUUCCGAUAAAUGGGAUAAAUUUCAUUGAUAAGCUUUUGCCACCACACUCAAAAGACCAGAUCCUCUAAGAUAAGUGCCUAUGCCAAAAGCUACUGGACCUGUUUCCAGGGGUGGGACCACCGGUACUCUGAUGAAAUGAUCCCCAACCUAAGUCCCUAUCAAAUGAUGCGUGCUGGAGAUGAGGUAAAUGCUCCCUUUCCCAUGUAUGAAAAUGAUUUGGCAAAGGAUUUUCUGUUUCUUGUAGAUUCUGGACCGAUGAACUUAGAGGAAUGAUCAUAAAGCCACCACUAUGAUCAUGUUGACGGGGUGCUGGCACUAGUGUACGUAACCCCCUUGGACUAUCAAAUCUCCCAACACCAUGAAUGAUAGGUGGAGGAAUGCCAGGCGAAUUGCUAGAAUGUUGACGAUGAUGGAAAGCAUGGGAAAUCUGGAUCCUUUCAUGGGUCUGAGCACUGCUUCCUGGAUGUCGAGGAAUAAUUGCAGAGACAAAUGAGCUACCGACUGUAGGACCAGACCCAUGGCCAAACACAACUGGAUGUGGAAAAGAUGUGGACCUCGUCCUUGUGUCUGAUUCACCAUAUGAUGAUCUGAACAUUAGAGGAACAGAAGCUGGGUCAACAACAUUUAUGUGCCUACCAGAUAUAGAGAAAGGAGGAGAGCGGCGGGCCCCACUAUGGGAUUGGAUAUUAAUCGCAGGAACAGCCUGUGUACUGAAGAUCUCAUGGCGACCAGAUGGACCGUUCCAGAGAUGAUUGAAGUUGGAAUCAUCAAUGCUGCUAUCAUUAGAUCUUGAUGAGUUGGGAGGAGUUGGCCCAACAUAUGCAACAUAUGAAUGAGCCACAGAUGAUGCAGCAGGAUGCUGUCCCUGUAAGUCAUGAUAGGUGGUUGAUGGUGAUU
rnacentral:misc_RNA from 1 species